GCAUAUCAAUAAGCGGAGGAAAAGAAACCAACCGGGAUUGCCUUAGUAACGGCGAGUGAAGCGGCAAAAGCUCAAAUUUGAAAUCUGGUACCUUCGGUGCCCGAGUUGUAAUUUGGAGAGGGCAACUUUGGGGCCGUUCCUUGUCUAUGUUCCUUGGAACAGGACGUCAUAGAGGGUGAGAAUCCCGUGUGGCGAGGAGUGCGGUUCUUUGUAAAGUGCCUUCGAAGAGUCGAGUUGUUUGGGAAUGCAGCUCUAAGUGGGUGGUAAAUUCCAUCUAAAGCUAAAUAUUGGCGAGAGACCGAUAGCGAACAAGUACAGUGAUGGAAAGAUGAAAAGAACUUUGAAAAGAGAGUGAAAAAGUACGUGAAAUUGUUGAAAGGGAAGGGCAUUUGAUCAGACAUGGUGUUUUGUGCCCUCUGCUCCUUGUGGGUAGGGGAAUCUCGCAUUUCACUGGGCCAGCAUCAGUUUUGGUGGCAGGAUAAAUCCAUAGGAAUGUAGCUUGCCUCGGUAAGUAUUAUAGCCUGUGGGAAUACUGCCAGCUGGGACUGAGGACUGCGACGUAAGUCAAGGAUGCUGGCAUAAUGGUUAUGUGCCGCCCGUCUUGAAACACGGACC
rnacentral:rRNA from 1 species